AUCAGAUUGGAGGAUCUUGGCCGCCCUGCUUCAAUGCCUUCAUGGACAACAGAGUUCCAGUUGCCGGCUUUCUUCCCAAGUAUCUCUUCCUUGCAAAAUGCUACUUGGAAAUCAUUACUGUGAGUGAACAAAGGAACUUCACGAGAAGAUUCCUUGCUGGUCCAGAGAGAAGAAAGGAGGGCAGAAGGUGGUGGUUACGGUGAAUAAGAUCAGAUCUGGGUAAGUCCAAAGCCCACACUGCCGCCAAGAACUUCAGGCUGCCCACUACCUCCUCUGAGCUCUGCCUCCUGCACCAGAAUGACACGCGUCUCCUAAGGAGUCUCAAAAUUCCAUUUAUACUUCAGUGUGGAUCACCUGGCUUCCCUCAUCCAUCCCCGAGUGUGGUUACUAAGACAGUGUACCUAAAGAAGGCGUGUUUCCAACACCAGAAAGAGGCUUAGAAAGGUUGGCACAGAGAGGCAGGGGCUAUACUUCCCAACCCUGAGCUGGGGGCUCAGCAAGGCUGUGGCCAGCAUGGGAUAUGAGAAGCAAGGGGCCUGGUGGAGGGAUCUGAACGGUCAGGGAUAAAAUGGGAGCCAGUGGGUAGACAGAAGCAAAGGAAUCUGGGAAGAACACGGGCUGAAACAGCAGCAGCCUCCUUUUGCAGGGAAUGGCAGGGCCACCUCUGUCUGCACAGAAAGGAGAGAGCAGAGCCUUGGGGAAACGGGCAGCAGGACUGCUCCCUGCACAAGGCUGUCUCUGUGCAGGGCCAGGAUGGAGAUCAAAGAAUGCAGAUACUAACUGUUAUAUAUAAAAUAGAUAAACAACAAGUUUCUUCUCUAUAACACAGGGAACAAUAUUCAAUAUCUUAUAGUAAUCUAUAAUGAAAAUAAAUACAUGUGUGCAUA